rnacentral:snoRNA from 1 species
AUGAAUCCUAAGAAAAAAGAUAUUUCUGAUAUACUAAAUUAAUCUUUGGAGGUAAAUUAGCAGCAUCGCUUAUUUAGCCAUUGUUGCCAGUCACCAUCAGACAAAU